rnacentral:lncRNA from 1 species
UUUUAUCAUCUUCUAGUAAUAUUUUAUUUUGUGUUUUGACAAUGCAGCUAAUAUUCCUUGUGAGAAUAAACGUGAUUGUCCACAACCGUUAUAUCCUAAAUUUGUGACGUGCUUUGAAGGUUUAUGUCGGAUGCAUUAUCCACUAAAAAAAAUUUAAAAUAAUUAUCUUUCCUUAAAUCAUUGAAUAAUAUUUGUAUUCUACCAAAAAUAAUAAUAAUAUAUGUACCUUUAUUGUGGACUAUUAAAUUUGAAAAUAAUUAUGUUUCCUAAAUUCAUAUAAUAAUGUUUGUGUUAUGUUUCUAAGGCCUAGAUGGCCCUUCAUACAGUUCAGAACAGUUGUUCCCCAAGCUAUAGGUUGAGGAAAUCGGACUCUAGCUUGAUAGAAGCUUUCACAGAUCCAACAUUUAACUAGAAGCACGUUCUUUGAGCUUGAACAUUAGUGUCUCCCAAAAUAAUAUGAGUAUUUUUGAGGUGGAAAUACUUAGUGUAAGUAAACACAGUCUAGGUUAUAUUAUAAAAAGAUAUUGAUAUCAUAGGGACUGUAAAUCUAUAGCUUCAUGUAGCUUUUCAGCAUAAAACUUGUUUGUAAGAAAAUAAAAUAAAUCAUUUGUCCCAACAAUAAAUCUAAAAAGUUAAGUUGGGAAAACAGUUUAAAAGAUUUAGAAAUUCUCAAGAUGGAAAGUGUGGUUUAAACUAAGUUCAGUUAUGAUAAAACAUUACUGCGAUUUACAAAGUUAUAGCUUGGUACAACUCCUGUGACUCAGCGCUAUAGCCAGUUCAAAUAAUAUUUGGCAACCGAGAUUCAUAUGGCUAUAUAUCUCUCCAUCUUCCUUGCAACCCAAUUGGUCUUAGGGAGUGUUACCUCAUCCAUCGUGUUAAGGUCGUAACGACACAUUGUUCAGAAUACAAAGAGUCCGAACUUUUGGGGUAAGAUUAUGAAGAGUUUAGGGUCACAAGCCGUUGUUUCCUAUGACAAGAGUCCUACCAAGAACUUACCGCUUAGCUAUAGCUUUGAGGCUCUACUAAGUUCAUAUCUAAGAAAGAGUCUUUUAGGGUUUCGUAUCUUUGUUAAGCCUUGUGCUUUAUUGUAUACCUCUCUGGUUGUUACAAUUGAUUAUACAAAGCACAUAGUUGGUUUGUUGUAGUUGAGUUGUAUUGGAUCAAAACCAUCGUUUGAUAAAAGACAUUUAUUAGGGUUUUUGAGUCCUUGAUGUGAGCCGUUGUUGUAUCACGUUGAGGCAUAGAGUUGGACUGUAGUUAAGUUGUAAGCACGAGUUGAUUCUUAGAAUUGGAGAGUGUCUCCAUUACCGUUGUUACUUUUAAGACGAUCACUAGAAUUGUGAUUGAGAGGAAGUGAGAUGGGGAUCUCUCAUAUCUAGGACUAUGAGAGUCUUAGGUAGAAAUUACACGGAUAGUGAUUCAAUAAGAAGGCAGUGAAUUGGGAUUGUUCACGUGUGAAUCAGAGAUUGUUCACUUGAAACAUCAAAUUUCACAGUACAACAUUUGGCAAGAUGCAGGUACUAAAUGCUAUGCCGUGGAGGAAGUCGAUCCUUAUAGUUCCCAUGAAGACAUAGAACGACCACGUGCAGAUCAAGAAAAGAAAGUUGCAAAUAACACCAGAAAAGAGGAUGUCAGGGAAGGAGCUAUUGGGGGCUCUUGGAAGAAGACUAUUUAUGAAGACUUUGAUGUAUAGACCCCACACGUAAGGAUCACCGCAUGAUGAGCAGGUGCAACUUGACGACCGAUUAGGUUAGUAACAUCCCAACGACCUCAUCACUUAUAUAGUCUACCUAAGAUAAAUAAACACGACAUUACUUUUAUUUAAUAUCCAAAAAAUAAAUAGGGGGGAUUGAAAUAUUCCUAACCGCCACUUACUUUUAUGCAACGAAAACAGGUAACUUGCUCAGUUGCAAAUAGAUAAAAAUUGCAAAUCUCUAAUCCUUUAACUCUUAUUAUUUUAUCGUCAACUAAAAAAAAGUAACACGAAUUGUUUGGACGAAAAGAUAAUCCAUGUGGAUACGAUACUCUACUUAUCACUUUAUUACUUGGUAAACGAUUUGGUGCACUUGCCUAAUCCGCACAUCAGUAAACGCAAGACUUGCCUUUCAGAGCUGCAGCUCUCUGCAGCUUGUAGGUCGUUGCAGAUUUGAGGUUUUUGUAGGAUCUGGUCUUUUUUUUUUAAUUUUUUUUGGGGCUGGAGUGUCUUCCUCCUUCAGGUUAGAAGUUGGAGAUUAUAACUUGUACUUUUUUUAGGGGAUUGUAACUUGUACUUAGAAGGCUGCAUCCUUGAUUUAUUAAGUUACAACCUCUCUUUUUCUUUGUCUUAGGAAGUUGCAACUUUGGAUUUGAGGUUAUAGCAACGACAUCUGAGGCUACAACUUCUUCUAUUUGAUGGUUUAACUUCCUAUUUCUUUCCUCAAUUACUAGACAAUUCAUGGACGACUUAUCUUGAAGCACAAUUCUUUCUUUGUUGUUCUUCCUUCUCAAUAGACACGGUCAGAAUACCCUUUCCCUUGUGAUGAACAACUCGUUUCUUUGAAGUUGUAGCUUCCAGAGUGGAUGGUACAUCUUUUUUGCGACUUAAGUGUUGGAGUUGUUAUAGGACCAACAAGUUUCAGAGUGUAUGUUCUGAAAACACAGGAAUCGUUUCCUUAUAGUAGAUUUUCGAGUUAGAAACUAGAUGCUUCGAUGUUUCCCCAGAGUUCUUCAAUAUCCUUCUUGAACAUAUCCAACUCUAUUUAUUCAGGCGGAGGGCUAUAUCUCCCUGCAUAUUUGAUUAUGCCUCCAAAAAAGUAAUUCGGGACUAUAGGAAAUAAAACUUGGAAAUCCCACUUCAAAACCCAUUUCUCCAAUGAUAUUUCCUCUUCUUCUUCAUUUACGUCCAUAAAACCUUUUAUUCAUUAUUGAUCUUCUCAAAUGCAUGCUAGGUGAUAAAGUGAUAUAUUGGCAAAUUUGUGUUGAUGCCCCAACAUCUACCCUUUUCAGUUCAAGCUCUCUUCAAUGACACUAGGGCAGCGAGUUAAAUAAUUUAUCUUUUCAACACCAUUUUUGCACGCUUAUGGGUUUUGGGUGUGGAAGGUUAAAAUGAUGGUGAAAUUAAAAUAUAAUAUGUGGAGGAAUGGUGUAUAUUUGUGAAGGGUGAAAAUCCCAUUUUUGACCUCAUUCAUCCCAAAAUCGUUGUAUGAACAUUACCCAUAGUUAAUACAAAUUAAAUGAGCAUUUAUAACACAUAAAAACACUGAUUCCACCUUUAAUUUCAUGAUUCUUCACCCAAUUUUUCAAAACUCAACGACAUCACAUAAUCACUUUUAAACUAGGAACUUAUCAGUUACAAUUCAUACAAACAACACCCACACAUUCCCAAUCAUUUAUCAAGAACAUACAUCAUGAACUUAACAAUUUUCAACAACAACAUCAUGAUUUUCAUCCAAUUAAGGUAAAACUCAUAAUUAUCAACUUAUCAUAAUCAAACAUUUAAUUUCAUGCAACAACAACAAGUUUCUACCACUUUUCAUAUACCCAAAAUUAACAACUUAAUUAGAGCACGAAAAUUAGUUUAAAACAACAUCAAUUUCAUAAUUUCACAAAGACAAACUUGACCCAAAUAUCAUAUAAGUGGUUAUAAUUCAAUAUGUGAACAUAAUCUCUCUAUCCUUACCUUUAAAUCCCAAAAGUUUGGCUAUAAGCUCCAAUCUACUUUCCCUUUUGAGGUUCUCCAUGCUAGAUCUUCUUGUCCCUUAAAACUCUUCUUUCUUCCUCUUUUUCUCAAUUUUCUAUCGUCUCCCACUUGCCUCUUUUCUCUCAAUUGUGACAAAUGAGUUAUUGACCUAAUUUUUAUAAAGACCACUUCAAUUAUAUACUUAUGGGCUUAGUCAUACUCACUAUUGGGCUUAGUAACUUUCUAUCACUCAUAAAAUAUUACUACACAAUUGCUUCUUUUAAAUCCCCACUAUUACUCAUGCACCAUUAUUAUAUUAAUUACCCUAAUUUACUACUAACAGUGCUAAAUGAUCUUACACUCCCAAAUAUUUGAAAUACCGAACAUUCUAAAAUUACCAAAAUGCUCUUACUCUUCAAAUGACCAAAAUACCCUUAUUGCCUAAAAAAAUCCACUAAUCCCUAAAUCAAGCACAUCAAAUAAGCAAUUAAAUAAAUACAAUAAAGAAAUAAAUAAUCCUAGCGAAAAUUGGGGUGUUACACCAUCUGCUCAUAACUUGUCCCACUCAGAUUUUUCUCUGGGAUUUGAAAUAUGAGGCCACUUACUCCUUUUCUGCAACAUUUAUCACCUGACCAGAGUCUGUUGUUCGAAGGUACAUCUUCCGAACGAGAGCUGAAUCUUUUUGUAUUUUCAAUCCUGCAAUUGAAAAACACACUAAAGUAGACACAAAUGUUAAAAAAAUUAAAAAUAGAAGUGUGAACACUCCAUUUAUUGAGUGUUGCAUCCGUUAAGCGCUUCUUUAUUAUCAUUAGCUUAACAAAUCAACACCCAAGCUAGGGUGGAUAAUAUGACAAGAAGAAUAUAUCCUCCUUCCUCUUCUUUCCAUUAGGUAGAAAUCCCAUAUACUUAAGAUAUGGUAGCAAGUGUUCCCAUUCCCCCAGAACAGGACCAUUGGAACAUGAUUUCUCCAUAUCUUGAAGUGUUAAAAAUUCAGCUUAAGGAGGAUAUUUUUCUUGAAACACCUAGGGUUAAGUCUUAACAACUACAUGAAUUGUUUUAUCCUCUUCCCUUGGGGUUUCAGCAACACUAUCUACUUCUACUCCUACUCCUAAGACUACAAUAUUUUUUUCUUCCGCUCUUUCAUCAAGGCAUUGUUUAGUUUCUAACUCCUUAUUAUGUUGUUCAACCGCUUUUUCCAUAUAGUUCUCAUCUCAUUUUAGAUGAUAUGCAUUGAGAUGAGACUCUAUGUUUUGGCUUGAGACAUGAUAUGCCUCAAUACUUUUAUUGAUAGAAUUGCUUGACUAUUCAGAUUGGAUCAAGAAACUGUUUAGCAUAAGAGCCAAGUUUUCUACCAACUCCAUACUCUCUUCCUCUUGUUCAACUAGUUCCUCCAUAUGGUUCUUUUGGUUUAGAUUUUCAAAUUAUAACCAAUGAUGAAAUCUAGCUUAGCUGCAUGCCUAUCCAAAUAAUCAUUGACUUCAGCAAAAAGGAGUUCAAGUGUAUGGUUUUUUCCAAAAAAAAAAAAAAAUUUCCCAUGCCAUAGCCAACAUUUGGUGUUUUUGUGGACAUGAAAUUUAUUCAAUUGUAGUCACUUAUAUGCUCAGCCCCUUCAUAUUCAAGAAUUUGUGGUUGAACCUCAUCUUCUUCAAAAAAGCUAAAAGGCCAAUAACUCAUAGUUGGCGUGGAAUUUUUUUUUUCCACUUAAACGACUAACUAAAAACAGAAAAUAAAAAUCAAUAAAAACAAAACACAAAACAGAACAAAAUUUGACCAAAAAAGAUCUUGACUAAAAUAAACUGACAAAUAUGAAAAUGACUUAGAAUAAACCACAUAACAAUCCCCGAAUUUUUAUCAAAAAGAGCUUUGAAAUGGAUUUUAAAAAAGAUUUUAUGCAUAAAAAAUGUUAAUACAAGUGAGAAUUGAUCCUAGACUAGCGGAACAUAAUGCACUCUAAAACUAUCUAAGGAAUAUAGGACAUCAUUCAAAACCUAAGAUAAUCUAGAGACAAAGAAAGAACUACAAUACCAUUAUUCUUCCUUGUUGUUCCCUUUUAUAAUUUCCCAUGCAAGUUGGCCUUCUCCUUAUUCAUUUUGAAUGACCAUAUUCCAAUUUUUGUUUUUAAUUGUUUCAUUUGGACAUAUAGUUUACCUCAUUGUACUAGGAACUACUUUAAGAAAAAAUGUAGAAACACAUAUUUGGUUUUCGUCAUAAGAUUCUUAACGAGGAAGUUGCUUGUAUGUGUUCCUUCAAGAGACUUAAGUCUAGUCAUCUAAACAUGUGUAUUCCCUAUUGAAUAUUUUAAUUAUAAUUUACUUUCAGUUGUUUCCUUAAGUGGUAAGUGGUAGGGAUGCCAACAAAUUUUGAAUUCCUCAAUUCCAUCAUUUUCACCUCAUUGAUUUUUACAACAAAAAUUAUGUAUAUUUUUAACUUCAAUUCUCAAGCCUGGAUUUUUUUUAUUUAUAUCUAUACAAUGACAAUUCUAUAUUCCAUAACUAGUUAAUUCCCGUUCUCUUUUUUAUUAAGAGAACACAACAUUUUUCUCAACUCGUUUAAUUUCCACAUUUAAUUUGUAUUAUCUUUGCUGGAGUGGAUUCUACUAAUAUUUCCGAUCAUUUGUUGCAGUUUACGUAUAUGACUGGUGUUGAUAAAGCUAAACGUUCGUUGUAACGCCCUAAUUUAUUAUUUAUUUAUUUUAUUGAGUUUAGAUGUCUUUUUAUAAUUUAGUCGAUUUAUUUUGAUGAGUGAUAUUUUGUUAUGUUAUANUUUGAUUGUUUCAUUUGGACAUAUAGUUUACCUCAUUGUACUAGGAACUACUUUAACAAAAAAUGUAGAAACACUUAUUUAAGAUUUUAUUAAUAUUUUUUGCACUACACUCUUUUGGUUAUCAUAAAGUAUUAUCUUACUUGAUUUUCCUCAUAAGAUUCUUAACAAGGAAGUUGCUUGUAUGUGUUCCUUCCCAAGACUUAAGUCUAGUCAUCUAAACAUAUUUAUUCCCUAUUGAAUAUUUUAAUUAUAUUUUACUUUCAGUUGUUUCUUUAAGUGGUAAGUGGUAGGGUUGCCAACAAAUUUUGAAUUCCUCAAUUCCAUCAUUUUCAUCUCAUUCAUUUUUACAACAAAAAUUAUGUACAUUUUUAACUUCAAUUCUCAAGCCUGAAUUUUUUUUAUUUAUGUCUAUACAAUGACAAUUCUAUAUUCCAUAACUAGUUAAUUCUCGUUCUCUUUUUUAUCAAGAGCACACAACAUUUUUCUCAACUCGUGUAAUUUUCACGUUUAAUUUAUAUUAACUUUGAUAUAGAAAGAUAUAAAAAAUAACUCUAUAUUAUUUUAGUUUGUAAAAAAAAGGGUGUUGUUACCCCUUGGAUCUGUUAUUAAGGCACCUUUUUUCUUUAGAUUCAUUAUUGUUGUUUCUCUUUUUGGAUUUCCUCCUAUAUAUCACAAGAUGCUAAAAUAUAAAUAAUUAAUAUAUAUAUAAUAUAUUUUAAUAAAGAAAAUAAUGAACAAAUUACAUUAUUAUAAUUGACUUUUGCAACUCCUAAGUUCUAAAAAGCAUUUAAUUAAAAUUAAAAGAGCUUGAAGUUUUACUUAUUUAGAGAUCAAAAAUACUUUUACAUUACAAUUAAAGGAGUUAAAACAUGGCUCAAAUACUCAUGUUCGUUAGUGUUUUGAUCAUCUUUCUUUCUCUUUUUUUGGCUGAUACCAAACAAAGUAAGUUUUAUUCACACCAUUUUUAAAUUUUCUAGUUUAUAUUAUACACACUAUUUUAUCAUCUUCUAGUAAUAUUUUAUUUUGUGUUUUGACAAUGCAGCUAAUAUUCCUUGUGAGAAUAAACGUGAUUGUCCACAACCGUUAUAUCCUAAAUUUGUGACGUGCUUUGAAGGUUUAUGUCGGAUGCAUUAUCCACUAAAAAAAAUUUAAAAUAAUUAUCUUUCCUUAAAUCAUUGAAUAAUAUUUGUAUUCUACCAAAAAUAAUAAUAAUAUAUGUACCUUUAUUGUGGACUAUUAAAUUUGAAAAUAAUUAUGUUUCCUAAAUUCAUAUAAUAAUGUUUGUGUUAUGUUUCUAAGGCCUAGAUGGCCCUUCAUACAGUUCAGAACAGUUGUUCCCCAAGCUAUAGGAUGAGGAAAUCGGACUCUAGCUUGAUAGAAGCUUUCACAGAUCCAACAUUUAACUAGAAGCACGUUCUUUGAGCUUGAACAUUAGUGUCUCCCAAAAAAAUAUGAGUAUUUUUGAGGUGGAAAUACUUAGUGUAAGUAAACACAGUCAAGGUUAUAAUAUAAAAAGAUAUUGAUAUCAUAGGGACUGUAAAUCUAUAGCUUCAUGUAGCUUUUCAGCAUAAAACUUGUUUGUAAGAAAAUAAAAUAAAUCAUUUGUCCCAACAAUAAAUCUAAAAAGUUAAGUUGGAAAAACAGUUUAAAAGAUUUAGAAAUUCUCAAGAUGGAAAGUGUGGUUUAAACUAAGUUCAGUUAUGAUAAAACAUUACUGCGAUUUACAAAGUUAUAGCUUGGUACAACUCCUGUGACUCAGCGCUAUAGCCAGUUCAAAUAAUAUUUGGCAACCGAGAUUCAUAUGGCUAUAUAUCUCUCCAUCUUCCUUGCAACCCAAUUGGUCUUAGGGAGUGUUACCUCAUCCAUCGUGUUAAGGUCGUAACGACACAUUGUUCAGAAUACAAAGAGUCCGAACUUUUGGGGUAAGAUUAUGAAGAGUUUAGGGUCACAAGCCGUUGUUUCCUAUGACAAGAGUCCUACCAAGAACUUACCGCUUAGCUAUAGCUUUGAGGCUCUACUAAGUUCAUAUCUAAGAAAGAGUCUUUUAGGGUUUCGUAUCUUUGUUAAGCCUUGUGCUUUAUUGUAUACCUCUCUGGUUGUUACAAUUGAUUAUACAAAGCACAUAGUUGGUUUGUUGUAGUUGAGUUGUAUUGGAUCAAAACCAUCGUUUGAUAAAAGACAAUUAUUAGGGUUUUUGAGUCCUUGAUGUGAGCCGUUGUUGUAUCACGUUGAGGCAUAGAGUUGGACUGUAGUUAAGUUGUAAGCACGAGUUGAUUCUUAGAAUUGGAGAGUGUCUCCAUUACCGUUGUUACUUUUAAGACGAUCACUAGAAUUGUGAUUGAGAGGAAGUGAGAUGGGGAUCUCUCAUAUCUAGGACUAUGAGAGUCUUAGGUAGAAAUUACACGGAUAGUGAUUCAAUAAGAAGGCAGUGAAUUGGGAUUGUUCACGUGUGAAUCAGAGAUUGUUCACUUGAAACAUCAAAUUUCACAGUACAACAUUUGGCAAGAUGCAGGUACUAAAUGCUAUGCCGUGGAGGAAGUCGAUCCUUAUAGUUCCCAUGAAGACAUAGAACGACCACGUGCAGAUCAAGAAAAGAAAGUUGCAAAUAACACCAGAAAAGAGGAUGUCAGGGAAGGAGCUAUUGGGGGCUCUUGGAAGAAGAGUAUUUAUGAAGACUUUGAUGUAUAGACCCCACACGUAAGGAUCACCGCAUGAUGAGCAGGUGCAACUUGACGACCGAUUAGGUUAGUAACAUCCCAACGACCUCAUCACUUAUAUAGUCUACCUAAGAUAAAUAAACACGACAUUACUUUUAUUUAAUAUCCAAAAAAUAAAUAGGGGGGAUUGAAAUAUUCCUAACCGCCACUUACUUUUAUGCAACGAAAACAGGUAACUUGCUCAGUUGCAAAUAGAUAAAAAUUGCAAAUCUCUAAUCCUUUAACUCUUAUUAUUUUAUCGUCAACUAAAAAAAAGUAACACGAAUUGUUUGGACGAAAAGAUAAUCCAUGUG